AAAUUGAAGAGUUUGAUCAUGGCUCAGAUUGAACGCUGGCGGCAGGCCUAACACAUGCAAGUCGAACGGUAACAGGAAGCAGCUUGCUGCUUCGCUGACGAGUGGCGGACGGGUGAGUAAUGUCUGGGAAGCUGCCUGAUGGAGGGGGAUAACUACUGGAAACGGUGGCUAAUACCGCAUAACGUCGCAAGACCAAAGAGGGGGACCUUCGGGCCUCUUGCC
rnacentral:rRNA from 1 species